GAAGGUAUAGCUCAUUGGCAGAGCGUGUGCUUAGCAUGCACAAGGUCCUGGGUUCAAUCCCCAGUAUCUCCA
rnacentral:tRNA from 1 species